GAAAUGCGAUAAGUAGUGUGAAUUGCAGAAUUCAGUGAAUCAUCGAAUCUUUGAACGCACAUUGCGCCCCUUGGUAUUCCAUGGGGCAUGCCUGUUCGAGCGUCAUUUGUACCCUCAAGCUCUGCUUGGUGUUGGGUGUUUGUCCCCGUCUCCGCGCGUGGACUCGCCCCAAAGUGAUUGGCAGCCGGCGUACUGGUCCCGGAGCACAGCACAUGUCGCGCAAACGAGUGCCUUGGUACGGCGGCGUCCAUAAGCCCCUCUCUCACGCUCUUGACCUCGGAUCAGGUAGGGAUACCCGCUGAACUUAAGC
rnacentral:misc_RNA from 1 species